GUCUUCCGGCCGGUACGGCGGGCGACAUUUUUAAACUCCAGCCUGGUUUCGUGUGUGGAACUGCAGAGCUUGGCCGGCCGGAGGUGAAGGAAGGCAGGAAGGCGCUGUGCCCGCUGCCCUCGGGAGGGUCUCAGGCUCUGCGCCAUCCGGCCUGACUCUGACUUGGGGCCGAGACAGGCGCCGCGGUGCCCAGGCCCCACCUUCGCCCUCAGACUCCGCUGUGGCGGCCGUGCUGACAGAUCCGCUUCAGGUUCCAUGUUCAACAGAACCGCUUAUGGACUCUUCACCGGCUGAUCAGAUUUUCCAAUGUGGAGGAAUCACAUGCUUCCAAAGUUUUUCCCAUUUGCAUCUGGAAGAGUGGAAGUGCCAUCAACUGAUUUGGGGAAGUCUGAGCCCUGUGACCUUUGAGGAUGUGGCUGUGUACUUUUCCCAAGAGGAAUGGAGGCUCCUUGGUGAGGCCCAGAAAUUCCUGUACCGCGAUGUCAUGCUGGAGACCUUUGCACUGGUUGUGUCCUUGGGGUGUUGUCAUAUAGCAGAGGAUGAACAGACACCUUCUGAGCAGAAUGUUUCUGUAGAAGUGCCACAGAGAAAUACCAAAAAGACAGACCUGUCCAGCCAGAAGGUCUGUCCCUGGGAGUUGGGUAACCUGGCCUUACAAGGUGGUUUGUGUGGACCUGAGGUCCUGCGAACAAACCCUGGCCAGACACUGUGUGGGACAGAUGUGAAAUCCCACCAGCAUGGUGGAGAGACGCUCAUGAGAAGAGAUUUGGGUAAGGCCUUAAUGAAGAACUGCACGGUCCAUGCAUCGGAGAAGGCUUUUAUGUGCCAAGAGGCGAGGAAGGAUUUCCCUGGUAGCUCUGGCCACGUCCAGCACCAGGUUAAACCACAAAUGAUGGAGUUUGUAGCAGAGUUUCACAAUGGAGAAAAGCGUUUCAAGUGCAAUGAAUGUGGGAAACUCUUCUACCGGAAGUCCAGGCUUGCUCAGCACCAUAGAGUCCACACCGGAGAGAAGCCUUAUGAAUGCAGUGAAUGUGGGAAAGUCUUUAGAUGCAGCUCCAGCCUUGCUAUACAUAGAAGAAUUCACACAGGGGAAAGGCCUUAUGAGUGUAGAGAAUGUGGAAAGUUCUUUAGGCAACACUCCCAGCUUGUUGUGCACCAGAGAAUUCACACUGGAGCCAGACCAUAUGAGUGCAGUGAAUGUGGGAAAACAUUUAGUACUAAAACCAAACUUGAUCAGCACCGGCGAGUCCACACUGGAGAGAGGCCUUAUGAAUGUGGAGAAUGUGGAAGAACCUACACCUGUAAACGCAUGCUUAUCCAGCACCAGCUGGUCCACACUGGAGAGUGGCCUCAUGAGUGCAAUGAAUGUGGGAAAGCCUUUAGAUACAUGGCCAGCCUUGUUAUGCAUAGAAGAAUUCACAGUGGGGAAAGGCCUUAUGAGUGUAAUGAAUGUGGGAAGUCCUUUAGGCAAAGAGCCCACCUUCAAGUCCACAAUAGAAUUCAUACUGGAGCAAAGACUUUUGAGUGCAGUGAAUGUGGAAAAUGUUUUAGCCAAAAUUCUAUUCUUACUACACACCAGAGAGUUCACACUGGAGAAAGGCCUUAUAAGUGCUGUGAGUGUGGGAAAUGUUUUAGCCAGAAAUCUACUCUCAUUAAGCACCUGAAUUUACACUGGAGAAAAGUCACCUGAGUGCACCGAAUGUGGAGAAUUUCUUUAGCUAUAGCACCUGAAGGAGGAAAAAAAAAAAAAAAAAAAAGCUGAAAAGUUAACACCACAGAAAGACCUCACAAGUGCAACAAAUAUGGAAAUAUUUUCUGUCACAGAUCAGCUCUGAUUGAGCACUAGACCUUCACAGCCCAGAUAAACCUAAGGGUGCAGAGAAUGUAGGAAAUCUCCCAGCUGAAGGUAUAACCACAUUGGUCACCAGAAAAUUCAUACUGGAGAAAGACCUUCAAACCAGAUGAAGAGAGAAGCCAAUGAGCUGUCUCCUUAAUGAAUACAUCUUACUGAACAGGCUCUAUGCAGAAAGCUGAAUGCCAUCCAUGUGCACAGCCCUGGUGUGGAGAGGGCCUGUGGAUACUUGGUUCUCUGAGCUUUAAGGAGCUAAGAUCUACUUCCUAACCUGUGCAGCAGCCUUGCCAGACUUCAUGUCACUGUGAGUUUCUUCCCUCUACCAAAUGGCAGAUUCCCGUUCUGGUCGUCAGUCCGCCAGUGUAAUCAGGUGACUGAGAAGAUGAUAAAUAUGUGGGAACUUGACUUUCAGUGACUGACUUUGCUACGUGGCAUAAAUAUUUGUACUGACAACAUUAUUCACCAGGUAUACUCCUCAUUAUUAACAUACUUCUAUUACUUUAGGCCUAGACAAUUAAUAAAAAAGGCAACUCACCUUUCCUUGUUGUGUUUGCCAAUUUCCUGGCGUGAGUCCUCCAACUGUGGGCAAUUUCAUGCUGUGUGUGUGUGGUUGCUACUGAACCAGAGGUGCAGCAAGCUAAACGCUGAGAUGCCGAGGUUUGCUGGGGGGAAUUUUCUUUCACAAGACAGCCACAUGAGGACACGGACGGACAAGUUUCAGAACCACCACCUUCUUGGAGGUGAGGUGCUUGUGAUAUGUAGGGGAUCAAGAGGCAGCCUGCUCUUAGGUGUGGGGACAAGCAAUCAGAGAAAAGGUGAGUUAACUGGCGUGUGCAUCACAUGCUCCUUCACAGAUGCAUGUUUAUAAAUGGAGGCACUUUGCAUGAUCUGAGCGUGGAAUUUUAGCCAUCUGAUGUCAAAAUUUUAGCCAUCAGACACCUGGGCAGGCCCAGUUUUAGGCGUUGGUAGUUUUGAUCAUUUGUAGCCUGCUCAAGAAAAGAGUUGACUCCAGGUGCCCAAGAACUUGAGACUCCUUUACUAUAGUGACCCUUAUGUCAGAGGUGUCACCUCUAGGGCUUGUUAAGGUGUCACUCUUGUGAUAGCACCUUGGCCAUGGGAAACUUGUAUACAACUCAAGGAAGGGAUGGGAGGUCCCCAGAGCAAGCAUAAUCAGUGAAGGUAGUUUGCAAGCAGGAGGGUUUUACCAUGCUAUUUUCUUUUCUGUAGUUCUGUACUACAAGCCCAAGAAUUUGUCGUUUGUCAGCUUCUGUUCACCCUUGGGGCAUGUUUCAAGGUCACCCGACGUGGACGUGGGAAGACAGAUUUUAGAGCUGCAUCCCUUGUGUGUGUUGACGCAAGACCGCUUCUUUCAUCUUCAAAGAGCAGCAGUGCAGCACUCCAGUCAUCAGAUCGCUUUCCUCUGCAGUGUGCGUCUCCCUCUGCUUGUCUUUUACGAGCAGACCUUGUUUCACAUUUGACCUACAUGUUAUAUGUUAUGAAGUCUGUACAUAUUCCUACAGUCCUUGAAGUGAGGCAUUGCUUUUGAGAAUCAGGUACGUCUAUGUCCGUCAGCAGUGUUCAAAACAGUACCAACUAGUCACCAGUAGCCAUAUGCGUAUUGAAAGCCAUUUGGUGAGAACCGACUUGGUAACCAGCCCAAGUCCAUCUUUGUCCUUCAUUUGUCUUUUUUUUUUUUCCUGACAUCACAUAAUGUAUAGGCUCUUAGUUCCCUGACUAGAGAUUGAACCUACGCCCACAACAGUGAAAGCUUGGAGUCCUAAUCACCUAAUCACUGGACCAGCAGGGACACUCUGCUCCCACCCAGCCUCAUUUGUUGUUUGUAGAGAAAGGCACCAGUUUCCUAGACAUUCCCUGGUUGCAAAGAGCAGUCUUAAGCAGUUCCUAAGCAGAGAUUCGAAGAGUCCAGAAAAAAGGAAAAGCAGUCAAAAAGAAACCUGUACCUAGGUUGAGGAUGAUGACUACGUGCUGAUCACAAGCACAUUGGCCUGAGCCUUCCUGGAAGCAGAAGGUUGCUGAUGAAGAUUCCUGAAGCAUUGCCUUGUUAACUUACUACCAACCAACCAGAAGAAAGUAGGGACCUUGACUUCCUUGGUGGUCCAGUGGUUAAGAGUCUGGCUACCAAUGAAGGGGACACAGGUUUGAUCCCGGCUCCAGGAAGAUUGCACAUGCUUCAGGGCAACUAAACACGAGCCACAACUGCUGAGCCCGUGCCCUAGAACUCAUGCUCUGCGAGAGAAGCCGCUGCAGUGAGAAGCCUGCACACCACACCUGGAAGAGCCCCCACUUUCCACAAGUGGAGGAAGCCUGCACAUAGCAAUGAAGACUCAGUGAAGCCAUCAGCAAAUAGAAGCACUGUUGAUUGUUGCCAGCUCCAGUUUUAAUUCUCGGCAAACAACUUAUGGAACCAACUCAGGCCUUUAUUUUUUGCCAUUAUAAGCUUUCUCCAUUUUUCAGUUCAAGGUCAAACAAUUUAAGUGCUUCUCGCAUCUCUGUCUCCUGGGCUGCUGUCCUAACAAGCCCUCAAUAAAUGCUUGUUUAGUUCAAUUAGGUCUUCAUUUCUGAAAUUUCGGUUAAUGCUCAGUACAUAAAAGUAUUAUGUAAUUGA